ACAACUUUAGUAAAACAUACGAAAUUUGAUUAAAUUUAAAAUUGUUUAUUAAUAAAUUCCAUUAUUAUCGAUUAACUUUAAAAACGCCUUUCGUUAGUAGGCUUGUUAGAAUAAUUGAGAUUGAUAUGACUUGAUUGCUUUACGAACUUUUCAUGAUUUUUUUUCUGAAUUUUCUUGAUGGUUAUAAGGUUUUGGCUUGUAUCAUAGAGUGAAAGGUCUGUUCCAUUUAUCUACGGAUGAAUAAAAAAGCAGCACAUCAAAGACCCUCCCAUGGUGCAAAAUCCCUUUCUAUCUAGUGCAAAGCCUACGCAAGGAAAUGUUCGAAAUGCUACUCAAAUGCUCAAAAUGUCUAUAGAGAAACAGUUUCGGGAAAAAAGAAGGCGAAGAGCAUGAAGUCCUUUUUCAUGAGAAAGGCACUGUACAACAACCAAAGCCCCACUGAGAAUCUUGUAUCCCUGUUGGUCAUCGCACUUUGGAGCAGCUGUUGUAAACAGUAUUUGAUUGUAAUUUGAUUUAAAACUGUUUGAUUUUGUAUAAGAAUGCAGAUGUGAAAAUGCAGUAUAAGAACGCUAGCAAAUAA